GGGGGCGAGCGGGCGCAGCUUCUAGGUGGUGGCACCUGGUUUCUCUGUAGUAGGGGUUUCCCGACCUUUGGGCUCUGUGUUGCCUCCACGCCUGGCAGGACCCGCACUCGAGGCCGCUGGUGAGCGGGUGAUGUCCCGUCCACACGGGCUCUGCCAUUGUACCCACAGACGCUGGCGCUGGGAUCUGCGCCUCGUGUUGGGGGUGGCCGCUCCUGCUGGGGCCCCCAGGCUCCGUGUCUCCUCUGCUCUGUGACGACACCUGUCUCGUGUGUGUGGUUUCUCCUGGAUGGCGUGGAGCUUCCUCGCCUCAUCCUCGUCCUGCUGUUUGGCGCUCUGGUCUUUGUUUUCUGUGCACCCGGUUGAUAGCACGGGUAGAGCCACGCACAGGCGGCAAGGAGUGUGUGGCCGUUGGGCUGUGUUGGGCCGUGUGGCACCGCGUGCUCUGUAUCUCAUGCGACUCUACGGAGGAGAGGACACUGGGCUUCCGCUGGCUGUCUCAGCACACGGGGCGUCUGCCCACAUCGCCGUGACCCUCUGCGACAUCCCGGGCCACAGCUUGUCACGGGGCGUGUCUGCGCGUCCAGGGCGGGCGCUCCAGCAUCCUGUGUCCACGUUGGCAGUGGCCAGGACAGGCUGGGCUGCCAGCGACCUGGACUGGGCUGCCGUGUGCAUGUGCUUCCUCGCCCACGUGUGGCGAUGCCGUGUUGUGGGCCGCUGUGCCUGCUGCACCCCCCGGGCCGCUGUUCCCCGUACCUGGUGCCGACGGCAGGGUUGUCAGGGCAGGCCACGGGUCGCACGUCUCCACUUGGGUCCUGCCCCUCCUGCCAGCACAUGAUGCCACGGGGUCUCGGGGUGGGCUUCUGGGACUGGAGGGCUCUGGAGCGGCAGCUGCUGGGGGUGAUGAGUAGAUCGUGGACGUGCAAGGAGCUGCUCAGCCCGGCUCUCAGGAAACCACAGUGACCUGGUGAGACCCCUUCCUCACCGGGUCUCAUGGCUUCUCGGCAGACCGUGGCCACGCUGAUGCGGUGCUGGCCUCAGCUUCCAGAUUCUGGGGUGGACGCGGGGGAGGGGGCCCACAGCAUCUGGUGCAGCCGCGGUGCUGGAGCCCCCACUGGGUGCCUGCGCGUCUGUUCAAACUUUUGAAUGUGGUUUCCACAAACAGGAGUGUGACACUGUCUCUGGUAGGGGCUGGAGAGGGCAGUGGUGUGCUCCUGGGCUUAGCCGGCUUAGGACCGGCUGGACCCCACGGGGCAUGUUGACGUGAAGACCUGACCCUGGCAGCCCUCCUCAGGCUGAGAGCACAGCCAGGGUCCCAGUGGUGACACGGGCGAGGCGGCCUGGGGAUCCGUUGGAUGGUGGGUCCCACCCCUCGGGGCAGGGCCUCCGGCAGGUCUUGCAUGAUAACAAGACCAGAGCUUGAAAAGCAUAGAAAAGCUGUCACCUGGCGGCGUCAGGAUUGACAGUUUCUUAAACAAGAAAUGAUACGUGUCAGGGUCCCAGGACCACUCCCAGGGUUGGAGGUUUGCCGGAGUCCUCCUGUGCCCCAGACUUGGCACAGGGCCGUCCUCGGGGUGGGGGUUUGCCUCAGAACACGGGGAAAAGGCGCUGGUGGAGUCUGAGGAACCUGGCACGACUUUCCGUCUUCCAUCUCCGUGGAGUCGUGUGGGACGCGUGUCACUCAGGGGAGCCCCCCAGAGACCCAGCACCGGGGGUUGGGGUCCGCAGGGCACGCAGCAGGCGCCAGACUCGUACCAGGUCUGGGAGGAGCGGGGAGCCUCCCGAAGUCGCUGGACCGCAGCCGCGGAGCCGCCUGGCCAGCAGGCCUCUGUGCGUUCGCAGUUAGGCCCACGUGACUGUCUCUUGUCGGGCUUCUUGCUUCCAACGUGAUUCAGCGAGAGUGUCCGAGACACGCAAGCAUGCAGGCCGGAGGGGAAACGUCCCCAGUACCGACAGGUUCUCGGCGAGCCUACCCAGAGCCCUCGGGGGUAUCGGACGGGGGACGGCAGGACACGUGGGUCCCAGCCCUGUUCUCCGCCGUGGCCAGCAGCCGUGACGUUCACGCUCGUAUGCCUGGCAGCCGUGCUGCCGAGGGGCCGCCCCAGGCCUGGGUGGGGGUGGCCUUGCUCACGGCUGACGGGCUCUCGGGGCGCCGAGCAGCCCUCCGUGAUGCCGGCAGAGACUCGGGGGUCCUGGGAGGCCCGUCGGCCCCUCACUGCCUCCUGGGUGUGGGAACACGCCUUCCGUGCGCUCGUCCCGGGGCCAGAACGCAGGCCUUUGGCGGCCGCCCCCACCCAAGCACACCCCGAGUCCCCGACUUCGCCUGUCAGGCUGUGGUGUUCACGUCAUUCCGCCCACGCCCCACGCAGGACAGAGCGGCCAGGGCCUGUGGACGGCACCUCUGGACGCCGCUGUUUCUGUGGCCUGUCUGUUCUAAACCUUUGCUCUUUUUUGGAGUUUUUGUUUACCGAUACUAUAUUUUGUUGUGUAUUCUGUGUGUUCAUUGCUUUUGUAAAAAAGUAAACAUGGGCAAACCCUU